rnacentral:piRNA from 1 species
UAGACACCAGUUUUCGGCAGAUGAAAUC